UGGGGAAUAUUGAACAAUGGGCGCGAGCCUGAUCCAGCCAUGCCGCGUGCAGGAGAAGCAUCUAUGGUGUGUAAACUGCUUUUGUACGGGAAGAAACACUCCUACGUGUAGGAGCUUGACGGUACCGUAAGAAUAAGGAUCGGCUAACUCCGUGCCAGCAGCCGCGGUAAUACGGAGGAUCCAAGCGUUAUCCGGAAUCAUUGGGUUUAAAGGGUCCGUAGGCGGUUUAAUAAGUCAGUGGUGAAAGCCCAUCGCUCAACGAUGGAACGGCCAUUGAUACUGUUAGACUUGAAUUACAAGGAAGUAACUAGAAUAUGUAGUGUAGCGGUGAAAUGCUUAGAUAUUACAUGGAACACCAAUUGCGAAGGCAGGUUACUACUUGUGGAUUGACGCUGAUGGAAGAAAGCGUGGGGAGCGAACA
rnacentral:rRNA from 1 species